rfam:Branchiostoma floridae genomic scaffold BRAFLscaffold_103, whole genome shotgun sequence.
GUUUGCCUGUGUGUGGAUGGUGUUCAGCACCCAAGACAGGUGUGUUUGCCUGUGUGUGGAUGGUGUUCAGCACCAGGGACAGGUGUGUUUACCU